rnacentral:rRNA from 1 species
UACGUAGGGACCAAGCGUUGUCCGGAAUCAUUGGGCGUAAAGCGCGCGUAGGUGGCCAUUUAAGUCCGCUGUGAAAGUCAGAGGCUCAACCUUUGAAAGCCGGUGGAUACUGGAUGGCUAGAGUACGGAAGAGGCGAGUGGAAUUCCUGGUGUAGCGGUGGAAUGCGCAGAUAUCAGGAGGAACACCGAUAGCGAAGGCAGCUCGCUGGGACGUUACUGACACUAAGGCGCGAAAGCGUGGGGAGCGAACAGG